UGUUAAUAUCUCCAGACUAAUGCUGAGUCGCCUCUUUUCGCCCCCACUUAUUCCUCUCAAAUGCCAGUUUCCAAUCUUUUUGUCAGCACAAUCCUGCAAUCCCAUCUUCAUCAUUGUGUUUUGUACUACUGCGUUGAUUUCAUUUUUUGUAAAUGUUGUAGGAAGCCUCAACUUAGCUGAGUAAGUGAGGGUUUCUCUGACACUGAGAGUCCCCAAGAGAAAAUCCUCUUGUGUGACAUAAGAAAUUUUUCUGCAGCCUAUGCUCCUCUGCUUCCCAUUCAGCAAAACAUUUCCAGUCAUUGUUACAUUGGGUGAAAGCCUCCCUGUCAGUGAAAUGCUCAAAGUAUUACUUGACAAAUUAAAGAAGGGAACUGCUAAUUCUAAAAUGCAAUUUUAAAGAAUUUACAUUAAUGGGAUGAAAUUAAGCCCAAGUUUUCCAUGCAUUCAAGAAGCAAACUUCACAAUGAAAGAAACAAUUCAGUAGCUUGUUCUAUGGCAUCAGGAAAUUCAUAGGCAUAAUUUUUUAUCUUCAUGGUUGAUUUAGGAAAACAGCAAAAAUGAUCAAAUACUUACACUGGGCACAAGAGUUUCUACUUGUAACAGGUGUUGUGCACAGAACAAACUCAAUUAACAGAAUACUAAUCCAAUAAUGUCAACAAAAAUUUAGUUGAACCAUAAAUGAUUCACAAGCACUCUUUGAGCCCUACUUAGCUUAGCUUAAGAAUUUCUCUAAAUAUAUGUAGUGCCAUA
rnacentral:misc_RNA from 1 species